GGCAUAGUAGCUAAGUGGGAAAGUGUUGGUCUCAUAAGCCAGAAAUCAUGGGUUCAAUCCCCAUCUGUGCCU